rnacentral:lncRNA from 1 species
CUAAUCAUCUUGCUCCCAUCAAAUUAGUUGUAAAUCUUGGAGGUUCAUUUCUAUGGGCUGACUGUGGCUUGACUUCUGAUUCUUCAAGUCAAAAACUUGUACCUUGUAAUUCACUCAAAUGCUCCAUGGCAAAGCCUAAUGGUUGUACUAAUGACAACAAGAUCUGUGGUUUGAAAUCAGAAAACCCCUUUACAAGAUUAGCUGCAACAGGGGAAUUAGCAGAGGAUAUGUUUGCUGUGGAGUUUAUAGAUGAGUUGAAAACAGGUUCAGUAGCUUCAAUUCAUCAAUUCUUGUUU